GCUGGGCAUGGUGGUGGGUGCCUGUAGUCCCAGCUACUCGGGAGGCUGAGGCAGGAGAAUGGCGUGAACCCAGGAGGCGGAGCUUGCAGUGAGCUGAGAUCAUGCCACUGCACUCCAGCCUGGGCAGCAGAGCGAGAGUCCAUCUCAAAAAAAAAAAAAAAAGUGUUCUAUUGCCCAGGCUGGAGUGCAGUGGCAUGAUUACAGCUCACUGCAGCCUCAACCUCCUGGGCUCAAGCGAUCCUCCCACCU
rnacentral:SRP_RNA from 1 species